rnacentral:lncRNA from 1 species
AGGCGCAGCCGCAGCCGCCCGGGCCCGGCCUGAUAUUCGGUGGAGAGCCGCAGCUGCCCGCCGCGGGGCCCCAGGCGCAGCACGCUCUCGCGCGUGGGCCGCAGCUGGCAGCACAGGAAGUCCAGGUGGAAGAGCGGCGGCGUGGGCGGCCCGGCGCGGCGCGGCGAGUGCGGGCUGGUAUCGGCCGAGCUCGCUUUUUCUGGGGACAGAGAGUGAGGCCUGGACACCCGGCGCCGGCCCAGGCCUGGCCGCGGGGAGCCGAAGGGCGACGAGUCCGGCGACGAGGCCGUGUCGCUGUCGGGGGCCCGGCAGAGGCGCAGGUCCGGGGCGGAGACGUGCAGCCGGGACUGCGCCGCGGGGAGUCCCCCGGCCGGGGCAGGUGGCGGCCCGUGGAACAGGGAUUCCCGCCGGCGCGUGUGCGGGCUCUCGGGCAGGAAGGCCCAGCCUUCGCGGCCCGCCAGGCUAGUCAAGUGAAGCAAUGGGAGUGGAGAUGGAACAAAGAAAUCUGCAAUUGGUUGUGAUCAAUUAGUUGUAAACACUACUGCACUUGGACCAACCUCUUCCUUUUCCUGACUGCUUAGGAAGGAUGGAAUGUAUUUCCUUCCUUCUGGGAGUGUUUGAAUGAAGAUUAGACUCUCCUUGACCAUGAAUGAAGAGCAACCAGUUUUUUAGUAUACAGUGAUUUAGACUCUGGGUCUAGAGUGUAGAUAUCAUGGGCACUGUGAAAGCACAGAAGGAGAAAAGGUUUUUAUUUUGGUGGGGCUUUGUGUCUGAAUUCUGGCCAAUGGAACCACGUGGAGGCCUGGCCCAGAACAUCUCCCUGUGGAUUCUCUCAUCUGGCAACUGGAUGCCUACACGAAGGGUGAUUUUGGAGUCAUGUGUUGGAGAUCACAAAGCUUUUGUCAGCCAGGUUCCUGAAUGACUGCUAGACACCAUGGGCUGAACUUUAUGAGCUCCAGCACCACCUCCAGCCUUCAGUGACUGUCUGGAGCAGGCAUCCGGAUGGAAGAGAAGGGGGACAACCAUGAACUUGGUGACCCACGGUCAGCCUGAUUUCCCUUGUGGACACAUUUAUGCCCAGUGUGCAUUCCUCCUGAGGUCUGUUCCAAGUCUGGAGGCAGCAGAGUAGAGUGGAGAGAACAGUGGACUUGGAAUCUCACCUCCCAGAUUAGAGUCCUGGAUCUGACUUUGAUUGCUGGUGCUGCCUCGGGCAAGUUACUUUAGCUGUGUGCAUCUCCAUUUCCCCAUGGAUAGAACAUGGGUUUUGGGUAGAAGUGUCUGAUAGCUGUACUGUGCUUUACGGUUCAUGAGCACGCACACAUAGGCCCAUAAUAUCAUAUCUCUGGUCACCCUGGCAGGUAGAUAUUAUUGCCCCAGGUUUCAGGUAAGAAGACUAAAGACCAGGGGUCAAUUGCUUGCUCAGAGUCCCACAGCCAGCAGCAGCCAGGCAGGACACCAAGUCAGAGUCUAGAUUCCGGAUCUUGCCCUCUUCCAAGUGUACCACAUUCUUCUCAAAGUGGCCUCUCAGGUCUUUUGUCCAGAAAAUUUUGAGACUUUGAUGAGAAGCCCAUAUCUGCACACUGGGGAUUAGGCCAGAUAACCCUGUGUGUCCUUCCAGGCCUGGUAUUGUGAGGCUGAAGCCUAGUGCCCCACACUCCCUUCCUCACCCCUUAGAGAAAGAUAGAGACUCCAGGGCCAGCCUGGUGGGUGCUGAACCUGCCCUGCUGAGCCAAGCCCAGGAGGCAGCCAAGGUCCUACCAGUGACCUUACCCUGGGGGCCCCUCCAGGUAGGAGCCUGGUUGGAAAAGACAGACCGACUUCUUCUGGGUUGGCUGGAAAAAGAUGACAUACUCAAAGCCUUGUCCUUCCACUUGGAUGCACCUGGUGAAGAUGCGACAGUCACCUUUGUCUGGGGAGAGAUAGGCAGUGUUGCAGCCGGAGAAGGGAGGGUAUGGUCAGGAUGCAGCACCAUUUGGUUGAGUCUUGCCUCUGGUACAAGAUUAAGGAGAGAAAACCAGAGGACACCAGGUCCACCCCCAGGGAGCCUUCCCUCUGGGAGCAGAGGCACAGUUGCUGUCCUCACAGAGCCUUUCUGUCUAGGGCAGAAACAUGCAGGAAGUGCCCUGGCUGAGAAUGGAGAUAGGAUCAGGGCCAGGGCAAGACUUUAAGAGACCAUAAGCAUUGAAAAUUGAAAAUGUAAUUACUCAUGUAACUCACAUAUAAUUCAAAAGAAUAAUAGUAAACAGUAAAAUA